UUGGGAGAAAAUUAGAAAAUCUUAAUAUGCCGUUAGAUAUCUAGUGUUGAGCUGCCAUGGAGGGCAGCUCAAGUCUUAUUGUGCCACGGAUGGCACAUAUAAGACGUACACGACAAAGAUAUAAGUAUUACACGGCAUAUUUAGAUUUUCUUAUUUUCGGAC
rnacentral:ncRNA from 1 species